rnacentral:misc_RNA from 1 species
GAUGAAGAACGCAGCGAAAUGCGAUAAGUAAUGUGAAUUGCAGAAUUCAGUGAAUCAUCGAAUCUUUGAACGCACAUUGCGCCCCUUGGUAUUCCGAGGGGCAUGCCUGUUCGAGCGUCAUUAUAACCCCUCAAGCUCAGCUUGGUGUUGUGGCCUGCUGCACUGGCAGCCCUUAAAAUCAGUGGCGGCGCCAUCUGGCUCUAAGCGUAGUAAUUCUUCUCGCUAUGGAGUCCUGGUGGAUGCUUGCCAUCAACCCCCAAUUUUUCUAUGGUUGACCUCGGAUCAGGUAGGGAUACCCGCUGAACUUAAGCAUAUCAAUAAGCGGAGGA